rnacentral:tRNA from 1 species
GGUCUGUGACGCAUCUGGUGAGGCGACUGCCCUGUCACGGCAGCGAGACGGGUUCGAUUCCCGUACGGACCG